UAGGGAAUCUUCGGCAAUGGGCGAAAGCCUGACCGAGCAACACCGCGUGUGCGAAGAAGGCCUUCGGGUUGUAAAGCACUUUUUGGAAGGAUUAGGAAGGAAUGUACUUCCAGAAUAAGUCUCGGCUAACUACGUGCCAGCAGCCGCGGUAACACGUAGGAGGCAAACGUUAUCCGGAUUUACUGGGCGUAAAGCGCGUGUAGGUGGUACUGUAAGUAGGGCGUGAAAGCUCCUGGCUCAACUGGGAGAGGCCGUUCUAAACUACAGAACUAGAGGAUGGUAGAGGGAGGUGGAAUUCCAGGUGUAGCGGUGGAAUGCGCAGAUAUCUGGAGGAACACCGGUGGCGAAGGCGGCCUCCUGGACCAUUCCUGACACUCAGACGCGAAAGCUAGGGUAGCAAACG
rnacentral:rRNA from 1 species